GAACGCGAAAGUUUUCUUCGGGAAAUGAGUAGAGUGGCGCACGGGUGAGUAACGCGUAAGUUAUCUACCCUUCCAUCUGGAAUAACUCAUCGAAAGGUGUGCUAAUACCGGAUACGCUGGAAACAGGAAAGAUGGCCUCUGUAUAUGCUAUCGUGGAAGGAUGAGCUUGCGUACCAUUAGCUAGUUGGUGGGGUAAAGGCCUACCAAGGCGACGAUGGUUAGCGGGUCUGAGAGGAUGAUCCGCCACACUGGAACUGGAACACGGACCAGACUCCUACGGGAGGCAGCAGUGAGGAAUAUUGCGCAAUGGGGGAAACCCUGACGCAGCGACGCCGCGUGGAUGAUGAAGGCCUUCGGGUCGUAAAAUCCUGUCAGAAGGAAAGAAGUAUAUGGUGGUUAAUACCCAUCAUAUUUGACGGUACCUUCAAAGGAAGCACCGGCUAACUCCGUGCCAGCAGCCGCGGUAAUACGGAGGGUGCAAGCGUUGUUCGGAAUUACUGGGCGUAAAGCGCGCGUAGGCGGCUAUUUAAGUCAGAUGUGAAAGCCCAUGGCUCAACUAUGGACGUGCAUUUGAUACUGGAUGGCUUGAGUACUGGAGGG
rnacentral:rRNA from 1 species